AUCUGGCCCAGCACCACCACCAGGAACCUCUGGUCCAACUGUAUGCCCAUACCCAAUGGUGGAAGAGCCUCAAGAAGAAGAUGCUUCUCCUCAAGGUGAUAAUCCAGAUGCUCCAAGGCUGUUUGAACUUUCUCCUGACGGUGACGAUGUUCCUGUUACACUCAUUAACGUCACACCUGCUCCACCAUCAGGAGGCUCAACUCCUCCAGAAUCCACACCUUCUGUACUUGCGCCAGUUGAUGAACCUACCUUCACAGGAGAUGGCACAACUGAGGUUGCUUAUGUCUAUACUUUUGGUAUGUAUAUAUAUGUAU